rnacentral:rRNA from 1 species
UACAGAGGGGGCAAGCGUUGUUCGGAAUUACUGGGCGUAAAGGGCGCGUAGGCGGCCUGUUAAGUCGGACGUGAAAUCCCCAGGCUCAACCUGGGAACUGCGUCCGAUACUGGAUGGCUUGAAUCCGGGAGAGGGAUGCAGAAUUCCAGGUGUAGCGGUGAAAUGCGUAGAUAUCUGGAGGAAUACCGGUGGCGAAGGCGGCAUCCUGGACCGGCAUUGACGCUGAGGAGCGAAAGCUAGGGGAGCAAACGGG